GCGAGUGGCGAACGGGUGAGUAAUGCAUCGGAACGUGCCCAACUGUGGGGGAUAGCUCGGCGAAAGCCGGAUUAAUACCGCGUACGAUCCACGGAUGAAAGCGGGGGACCUUCGGGCCUCGCGCAGUUGGAGCGGCCGAUGUUAGAUUAGGUAGUUGGUGGGGUAAAGGCUCACCAAGCCGACGAUCUAUAGCUGGUCUGAGAGGACGACCAGCCACACUGGGACUGAGACACGGCCCAGACUCCUACGGGAGGCAGCAGUGGGGAAUUUUGGACAAUGGGCGCAAGCCUGAUCCAGCAAUACCGCGUGCAGGAAGAAGGCCUUCGGGUUGUAAACUGCUUUUGUACGGAACGAAAAGGUCUGGGUUAAUACCCUGGGCUCAUGACGGUACCGUAAGAAUAAGCACCGGCUAACUACGUGCCAGCAGCCGCGGUAAUACGUAGGGUGCAAGCGUUAAUCGGAAUUACUGGGCGUAAAGCGUGCGCAGGCGGUUAUGUAAGACAGGCGUGAAAUCCCCGGGCUCAACCUGGGAAUUGCGCUUGUGACUGCAUAACUAGAGUACGGUAGAGGGGGAUGGAAUUCCGCGUGUAGCAGUGAAAUGCGUAGAUAUGCGGAGGAACACCAAUGGCGAAGGCAGUCCCCUGGACCUGUACUGACGCUCAUGCACGAAAGCGUGGGGAGCAAACAGGAUUAGAUACCCUGGUAGUCCACGCCCUAAACGAUGUCAACUGGUUGUUGGGUAUUUACUUACUC
rnacentral:rRNA from 1 species